rnacentral:rRNA from 1 species
GACGAACGCUGGCGGCGUGCUUAACACAUGCAAGUCGAGCGGUAAGGCCCUUUCGGGGGUACACGAGCGGCGAACGGGUGAGUAACACGUGGGUGACCUGCCUUUAGCUCUGGGAUAAGCCUGGGAAACCGGGUCUAAUACCGGAUAUGACUCCGCGGCGCAUGUUGUGGGGUGGAAAGCCUUGUGCGGCUGGAGAUCGGGCCCGCGGCCUAUCAGCUUGGUUGGGUGGGGUGAUGGCCUACCGAAGGCGACGGACGGGUAGCCGGCCUGAGAGGCGACCGGCCACACUGGGACUGAGACACGGCCCAGACUCCUACGGGAGGCAGCA